UCCCUGGUGGCUCAGAAAGUAAAGAAUCUGCCUGCAACGCAGGAGACCCAGGUUCAAUCCCUGGGUUGGGAA
rfam:TPA: Bos taurus chromosome 10, whole genome shotgun sequence.